AUGGAUCCAACCCUCAAAACUGAAUUGGAAAAACAUAUACAAGAGAUGUUGGACAGUGGAGUUAUCCAGCCAAGCAACAGCCCGUUUUCAUCACCUUUGCUUAUGGUCAAAAAGAAAGAUGAUACAUGGCGCCCAGUGAUCGACUAUAGGCAUUUGAAUGCUAUGAAACAAAAAGGGAAGUUUCCAAUAUCCGUGAUCGAUGAACUUUUGGAUGAGCUCUCGGGUGCUAAUUGGUUCACCAAGUUGGAUUUGCGCUCAGGUUAUCACCACAUUCGUCUGGCUCCCGGCGAAGAGUACAAAACAACAUUUCAAAUGCACUUGAGGCACUAUGAAUUCACUGUUCUGUCACGUGGACUCACGGGAGGACCCAACACUUUUUAG
rnacentral:rRNA from 1 species